AUGUUUCUUCUUCUCAACAGCAUCUUCCAUGUUACUCAGAGUUGUUUUCGGCACAAUGGAACCGACAACAACGUCAUGUUCUUUGGCACGGUGAACCUUCGAGUUUUCGGAAGCUUUACAAGGAAGAGUUCCGGCAUAAUAGUUUUCUGUCUGCCAAUUGCAGCAAGGGUGAUAACUGAUCGAGUCUUGGGUUAUUCACAACUUUGCAUGGACCUUCACCAUGAUUUUGACAAGUCUGCGGUUAUACCAAACGUAAAUUGA